rnacentral:rRNA from 2 species
GACGAACGCUGGCGGCGUGCCUAAUACAUGCAAGUCGAACGAAACUUUCUUACACCGAAUGCUUGCAUUCACCGUAAGAAGUUGAGUGGCGGACGGGUGAGUAACACGUGGGUAACCUGCCUAAAAGAAGGGGAUAACACUUGGAAACAGGUGCUAAUACCGUAUAUCUCUAAGGAUCGCAUGAUCCUUAGAUGAAAGAUGGUUCUGCUAUCGCUUUUAGAUGGACCCGCGGCGUAUUAACUAGUUGGUGGGGUAACGGCCUACCAAGGUGAUGAUACGUAGCCGAACUGAGAGGUUGAUCGGCCACAUUGGGACUGAAACACGGCCCAAACUCCUACGGGAGGCAGCAGUAGGGAAUCUUCCACAAUGGACGCAAGUCUGAUGGAGCAACGCCGCGUGAGUGAAGAAGGUCUUCGGAUCGUAAAACUCUGUUGUUAGAGAAGAACACGAGUGAGAGUAACUGUUCAUUCGAUGACGGUAUCUAACCAGCAAGUCACGGCUAACUACGUGCCAGCAGCCGCGGUAAUACGUAGGUGGCAAGCGUUGUCCGGAUUUAUUGGGCGUAAAGGGAACGCAGGCGGUCUUUUAAGUCUGAUGUGAAAGCCUUCGGCUUAACCGGAGUAGUGCAUUGGAAACUGGAAGACUUGAGUGCAGAAGAGGAGAGUGGAACUCCAUGUGUAGCGGUGAAAUGCGUAGAUAUAUGGAAGAACACCAGUGGCGAAAGCGGCUCUCUGGUCUGUAACUGACGCUGAGGUUCGAAAGCGUGGGUAGCAAACAGGAUUAGAUACCCUGGUAGUCCACGCCGUAAACGAUGAAUGCUAGGUGUUGGAGGGUUUCCGCCCUUCAGUGCCGCAGCUAACGCAAUAAGCAUUCCGCCUGGGGAGUACGACCGCAAGGUUGAAACUCAAAGGAAUUGACGGGGGCCCGCACAAGCGGUGGAGCAUGUGGUUUAAUUCGAAGCAACGCGAAGAACCUUACCAGGUCUUGACAUCCUUUGACCACCUAAGAGAUUAGGCUUUCCCUUCGGGGACAAAGUGACAGGUGGUGCAUGGCUGUCGUCAGCUCGUGUCGUGAGAUGUUGGGUUAAGUCCCGCAACGAGCGCAACCCUUGUUGUCAGUUGCCAGCAUUAAGUUGGGCACUCUGGCGAGACUGCCGGUGACAAACCGGAGGAAGGUGGGGACGACGUCAAGUCAUCAUGCCCCUUAUGACCUGGGCUACACACGUGCUACAAUGGACGGUACAACGAGUCGCGAGACCGCGAGGUUUAGCUAAUCUCUUAAAGCCGUUCUCAGUUCGGAUUGUAGGCUGCAACUCGCCUACAUGAAGUCGGAAUCGCUAGUAAUCGCGAAUCAGCAUGUCGCGGUGAAUACGUUCCCGGGCCUUGUACACACCGCCCGUCACACCAUGAGAGUUUGUAACACCCAAGGCCGGUGGGGUAACCGCAAGGAGCCAGCCGUCUAAGGUGGGACAGAUGAUUGGGGUG